ACCAUGAGGCUGGUCGUGAACUCUUGAUCUACUGAAUGUUACCGGAUGGCUUUAAAUUCCCUAUGCAGCCAAGGAUGAUCUUGAGCUUCUGAUCCCCAUGCCUUCCCCACCAGAUUUCGAGUGCCUGGAUUCCAGGUCCCACGCAUUGGCUACAUUUCUGAACAUGGUGGAGGCGGACUGAAGAUUGGAUACAUCUGAGUUUACCCCCUGGAGCAGAGUUGAGAUCCUCUCCACAAAAUUAGAACAACAGGAUCAGGCGUGAGCAUGUGCACAGGCGGAGAACAAAGGUCAGAGGACAACUUGGAGGAUUUGGUUUUCACCUUCUGUCUUUUACCGUCUCUUGUUUGUACUGUUGUGCUGCAAACUCAAGACUGGUUGGCCCAUGAGCAGUCAGGAAGCUGAGGAAGGGUUGCAGCAAGUUGGGCACCAUCGUGGUCUACAUAGUGAGACUCUGUCUCAAAACACAGCACAACAGAAACAAAACAAAACAAAAACAAAAGCACCUACCGGCACAGAAUGAACUGCUAUAAACUUUUAGGUUGGAUUCCCAUCUUGGUGAGCCAUUGCUCUUCCUUCUGGAAAUAUGCAGAUGGUUAUUUCCAGAGCUCUGGAGACAGGACUGCAGUAUGGUCCAGCUCCUUGCACAGGGAGCAGGGAGCUACUUCUGGCCAUGAGAAUCGGGCAGAGACCCCAGGAAUCUACAGUGCGGCUGUGAUGGCAACAGCCCUCACACGCCCAACUGAACUCAGUGUUGAACCACACUGUGCCUGUACAUUGUGGCGAACCUUCUGGAAACGGGCCAGUAGGAGAGUGGAUCACUCCAGAUGAGAUAUUAUUAUUAUCAUUAUUAGUGUUCUUAUAAAAGGAGGAGAAGCAUGCCUCUUCUCGGGUGUCCACUAUGGGAGACCACAGCAAGAAUCCCUGCAGGCCAGGGAUGGGGCUUUUCCAGAUGUCACUUCCCCGCCCCUCACCUCAGACCUGCAGCAGCUGCAGCUGGGAGAAGUAAAUGGUUGCUGUUGGAAUCACUUCAUCUGUGGUCAUUUGUCACAGCAGCCCUAAUGGACCAAGACAAAUGGAGCAGUAAGACCUAGCAGCAUCCCUCCUGAGCGUGUUUGCUUCCGUUUUCCUACACUUCAUAAUUCAGAGCAGGAGUUUUGCAGACACAGCAUCAAAACACUUGGCUUCUGCAGGAGGGGGUUCAAGGCCAGUGUGACGCAGCAAGGAGAAGUUGAGAGAUGGAACAAGGACCCAGGGGCAGGGUAGCGAGCAGAGUUGUACAGAAACCUGGGCUCAGACGUGUGGAGUGACAGACAGCAAGUGCAUUCCUCAUUUUGAGCUAAAAUAUAAAAAAUGUAAUCUUUAAGUCCUGUUAAAAUGGCUCCUUAAAAAAAUACCUUGACAUUGCAAUAGCUGUCUGUAUGAAGCAGAGAUCUCCUGUCCUUGAAGGAAAUGUGUUCAGUCCAUCCAGAAAGCGCUGUGUAAAGCAAAUAAACCCAAUAGUUUAUGAACUAGGAUCAUGGCUGAGAGGUACAGUGCUGGCUUAGUGUGCACAAAGCUCUGAAUUUGAUCCCCAGGACCCUCUACAAUGAACAAACAAAAAGGAGACAUCCCACGAACUAGAGUCCCAGAGGGAAUAAGGCAGGGAGCUGGGCACCUCCAUUCAUCUCUUGGUUCUUUGAAAGCAGAUGGAACAUGACCUUAUACCAUUCCUUUCCAGCCACAGCAGACAGUACCCUCAAACUGUGAGCCAAAAUGAUCCCUCCCUCCCUCCCAUAAAUCUCUCUUCCGAUAGGGAUUUCAUCACAUCAACAAGAAGGUAACAAAUGCAGCCAGCGUUAGCCCACGGAACUCUGCAGAAGGAUGCUUCCGCAUAGGUCACCGUGGAAACACACUUCUGUGUGAAUCGGCAAAAGUAUUUCCAGAAGGGUUGAAUGGGAAGGUCACCGCCUUCCCAGAAGACUACAGCUGCCUCCAAAGGGAAUGCAAAUCAUCUUCGCUGCCAGCUCACUGCACCCUUGGGCUAGUGGGAUGGCCCUGUGGGUAAAAGUGCUUGCUGCCAAGCCUGAUGUUCUGAGUUCAAUACCUGGGACCCACACGGUAGAAGGAGGUGAACAGUUCCCACAGGCUGCUCUCUUGACCUCCACAAGCUCAUCUGGCAUGGGUGUACACACACACACACACACACACACACACACACACACACACGCACGCACGCACGCACGCACGCACGCACGCACUAACUGAUUAACACAAUUUAAAUAAAGAAUAUAUGUAUCUAUAUGAUACUGGGAAACUGGGGGUCCUCUCUUGGGGUUCUCAGCCUCAUUGAUAAAAGAAUUUAAGAACAGACUCAAGUGGGAACUCAAGGGCAAUUUUAAAAGAAAAACUCGCAAACAGGCAAGCUGUAAACAGCAGCAUCUGCCAGGAGGGAGACAGAAAGAUGAAAGCCAAGCAGUUUUAGCUGGCAUGGAGGUCAGCUAGAUGUCGGACAGGCAGCCGUGCACUGGGAAGGCAGCUGAAGAGAAAGAGAAGAAAACAUCAAAGUACCAGAGAGCAUGCUUGGAGUGUGAUCAGCACCCAGAAGGAAAGCCCAGGAGAAAAAGGGGAGAAGUUAUGCUUCUCAGAGUCAGGCUGACCCAGGGGAAGUCCAUGGCAGAUGGAGGGGCCUGAGACAGAA